rnacentral:rRNA from 1 species
AGAGUUUGAUUAUGGCUCAGGAUGAACGCUGGCGGCGUGCUUAACACAUGCAAGUCGAACGAGGUCCAACCUUCGGGCGAAGACCGAGUGGCGAACGGGUGAGUAACACGUGGGGAACCUGCCCUUCUCUCUGGGAUAACCUCGGGAAACCGAAGCUAAUACCGGAUACUCCUUGCGGACCGCAUGGUCUGCUCGGGAAAGCUCCGGCGGAGAAGGAUGGCCCCGCGGCCCAUUAGCUUGUUGGUGGGGUAACGGCCCACCAAGGCGACGAUGGGUAGCCGAGCUGAGAGGCUGAUCGGCCACACUGGGACUGAGACACGGCCCAGACUCCUACGGGAGGCAGCAGUGGGGAAUCUUGCGCAAUGGGCGAAAGCCUGACGCAGCAACGCCGCGUGCGGGAUGAAGGCUCUCGGGUCGUAAACCGCUUUCAGCAGGGAUGAAAAUGACAGUACCUGCAGAAGAAGCCCCGGCUAAAUACGUGCCAGCAGCCGCGGUAAUACGUAUGGGGCAAGCGUUAUCCGGAUUCAUUGGGCGUAAAGCGCGCGUAGGCGGCUUGUUAAGUCAGGCGUGAAAUCCGGGGGCUCAACCCGCGGCUUGCGUCUGAAACUGGCAGGCUUGAGUCUGGUAGAGGAAAGUGGAAUUCCUGGUGUAGCGGUGAAAUGCGCAGAUAUCAGGAGGAACACCAGUGGCGAAGGCGGCUUUCUGGGCCACGACUGACGCUGAGGCGCGAAAGCUAGGGGAGCGAACAGGAUUAGAUACCCUGGUAGUC